rnacentral:tRNA from 1 species
AGUGUUGUGGCUCAGUGGUAGAGCACUUGCCUGGCAUGUGUGAGGCACUGGGUUCAAUUCUCAGCACCACAU